UACGGAAGGGGCAAGCGUUGUUCGGAAUCAUUGGGCGUAAAGGGCGCGUAGGUGGUUCUGUAUGUCUACCGUGAAAGCAUACAGCUCAACUGUAUUUUGUCGGUAGAAACUGCAGGACUUGAGGCUGGGAGGGGCUGGUGGAAUUCCCUGUGUAGCGGUGAAAUGCGUAGAGGUGGGGGAGAACACUCGUGGCGAAGGCGGCCAGCUAGACCAGUUCUGACACUGAGGCGCGACAGCGUGGGGAGCAAACAGG
rnacentral:rRNA from 1 species